rnacentral:lncRNA from 1 species
GGGCGCAGUCUAUAGAAUAGUUUCACGGUCCAUAGGCAUGGUUCACAAGCGAGAUGAAAGAAAUUUGCAUGAUCCAACGAUCUAAAUUCAAUCUGAAGUAGAUCUGAUGGUCCACAUUCAUUGUCAGUUAAAAGAAAAAGAUUUGAGCAUGAUCCGAUGAUCAAAAAUUUAUUCAAUGGCUGAUCCGACGACUAGCAUUCAUCCCGACUUUGAAUAGAAGAUAAAGGGUGCUGAUCGACGGCCC